GACGAACGCUGGCGGCGUGCCUAAUACAUGCAAGUCGAACGCAGUGGGGACGGUUGAGUAACACGUGGGUAACCUCCCAUCAGAGGGGAUAACACUUGGAAACAGGUGCUAAACCGAUACUGAUGGAUGGACCCGCGGUGCAUUAGCUAGUUGGUGAGGUAACGGCUCACCAAGGCCACGAUGCAUCGCCGACCUGGGAGGGGGAUCGGCCACACUGGGAAUGAGAAACGGCCCAGACUCCUACGGGGGGCAGCAGUAGGGAAAUUUCGGCAAUGGACGAAAGGCUGAACGAGCAAAGCCGCGUGAGUGAAGAAGGUUUUCGGAUCGUAAAACUCUGUUGUUAGAGAAGCGGUAUCUAACAAGAAAGCCACGGCUAACUACGUGCCAGCAGCCGCGGUAAUUC
rnacentral:rRNA from 1 species